AUUGAACGCUAGCGGGAGGCCUAACACAUGCAAGCCGAGCGGUAUUGUUUCUUCGGAAAUGAGAGAGCGGCGUACGGGUGCGGAACACGUGUGCAACCUGCCUUUAUCUGGGGGAUAGCCUUUCGAAAGGAAGAUUAAUACUCCAUAACAUAUUGAUUGGCAUCAAUUAAUAUUGAAAGCUCCGGCGGAUAGAGAUGGGCACGCGCAAGAUUAGCUAGUUGGUGAGGUAACGGCUCACCAAGGCGAUGAUCUUUAGGGGGCCUGAGAGGGUGAUCCCCCACACUGGUACUGAGACACGGACCAGACUCCUACGGGAGGCAGCAGUGAGGAAUAUUGGUCAAUGGGUGCAAGCCUGAACCAGCCAUCCCGCGUGAAGGACGACUGCCCUAUGGGUUGUAAACUUCUUUUGUAUAGGGAUAAACCUACCCUCGUGAGGGUAGCUGAAGGUACUAUACGAAUAAGCACCGGCUAACUCCGUGCCAGCAGCCGCAGUAAUAC
rnacentral:rRNA from 1 species